rnacentral:rRNA from 1 species
GGACUACACGGGUUUCUAAUCCCGUUUGCUCCCCUAGCUUUCGCGCCUCAGCGUCAGAAAAGGUCCAGCGAGCCGCCUUCGCCACCGGAGUUCCUAAUGAUAUCAACGCAUUUCACCGCUCCACCAUUAGUUCCGCUCGCCCCUACCUCCCUCGAGGCCGUCAGUAUCUGAGGCAGUUCCACGGUUGAGCCGCGGGAUUUCACCCCAGACUUGACAGCCCGCCUACGCGCCCUUUAAGCCCAGUUAUUCCGAACAACGUUCGCUCGGUUCGUCUUACCGCGGCUGCUGGCAC